rnacentral:lncRNA from 1 species
UGCAAAGACAAGCAGUGGAAACCACUUUUCAAAGGUGUGGAGACUGAUGAACUGGAGUUGCUGACAAGAAGACUGAAGGAAUGCUGUGCUAGACUGCGAAAUAUCAGAACUGGGGUGGAUGAUCAGUUCCACUGCCAAAUGGAAACAAAUAUGUUAGCAUUAGAGUUGAGGUGCCUUUACAGGUCUGCUGGUAUGAUUGCAGAUAUAACUUGUUAUUUAUACAAUUGUAUAUGUGUGAUAUUUUUCUCAGCUAAAACUUGUGACCUAUCUUUAUUCAUUUAUUAG